GAUGAACGCUGGUGGCGUGCUUAACACAUGCAAGUCGAACGGAAAGGCUCCUGCUUGCAGGGGUACUCGAGUGGCGAACGGGUGAGUAACACGUGGGUGAUCUGCCCUGCACUUCGGGAUAAGCUUGGGAAACUGGGUCUAAUACCGGAUAGGACCGCAUUUUGGAUGGUGUGGUGGAAAGUUUUUUCGGUGUGGGAUGAGCUCGCGGCCUAUCAGCUUGUUGGUGGGGUAAUGGCCUACCAAGGCGUCGACGGGUAGCCGGCCUGAGAGGGUGUACGGCCACAUUGGGACUGAGAUACGGCCCAGACUCCUACGGGAGGCAGCAGUGGGGAAUAUUGCACAAUGGGCGCAAGCCUGAUGCAGCGACGCCGCGUGGGGGAUGACGGCCUUCGGGUUGUAAACUCCUUUCGCUAGGGACGAAGAGUAAUUGACGGUACCUGGAGAAGAAGCACCGGCUAACUACGUG
rnacentral:rRNA from 1 species